rnacentral:lncRNA from 1 species
CAGACGCUUGGAGUAAAUGCGAAAAGGGAGUGUGGGAUGAUGUGAGUGGGAGCUGUGGAUGGGUUCAAGGGUGCUGAAUCCUGGCUUGACUCACCCUUCCAGCUUCUGCUCUAACUCUCAAUGCCUUUGUCUGCAUGCUGGGAAAUCCCUGGGUGCCCAGGUUAAACCCCAACCCUAAAAGGCACGUAGACACUUCUCCUGAGCUUUGAGUUGCUUCAUUCUGCCCAGCAGCUUCCUGAAAAUGUAGUCUUGCCACACCAGAGGAAGGAUAGACCCACAGCUGUGGGGGACCCUGUGUCAGCAGGAUUUACUAGCGAGUGAGCUGGGGCUGCAACAGCACAUAGUUCAUUAUGCAGGUCUGGAAAACAACAACAACAACAACAACAGCAGCAGCAGCAGCAGCACCACCACCACCACCACCACCAGCACCAGCAGCAGCCAGGAGAAAAGCAGGGGUUAGUUUGGGGGGUUGAAAUGGGAAAAAGUAGACAUUUCCAGCUCCCAACAUCUUAUUUCCCAAGUAUCUUUGGAGCCCUAGAAAAUGGCUCGGAGCUGCCUUUGCAGUUUUGAAGCCUCGCUUGGGUUCCCAUCAGCCCCUGGGCCUCUGAUUGCAGCCUGGGGAGCACCUCUGCACUCCCAGCCUCCU